AUACGAAGGGACCUAGCGUAGUUCGGAAUUACUGGGCUUAAAGAGUUCGUAGGUGGUUGAAAAAGUUGGUGGUGAAAUCCCAGAGCUUAACUCUGGAACUGCCAUCAAAACUUUUCAGCUAGAGUAUGAUAGAGGAAAGCAGAAUUCCUAGUGUAGAGGUGAAAUUCGUAGAUAUUAGAAAGAAUACCAAUUGCGAAGGCAGCUUUCUGGAUCAUUACUGACACUGAGGAACGAAAGCAUGGGUAGCGAAGAGGAUUAGAUACCCUCGUAGUCCAUGCCGUAAACGAUGUGUGUUAGACGUUGGAAAUUUAUUUUCAGUGUCGCAGGGAAACCGAUAAACACACCGCCUGGGGAGUACGACCGCAAGGUUAAAACUCAAAAUGAAUUGACGGGGACCCGCACAAGUAGUGGAGCAUGUGGUUUAAUUCGAAGCAACGCGCAGAACCUUACCAACCCUUGACAUCCUAGGACCGCCAGAGAGAUCUGGUUUUCACUUCGGUGACCUAGUGACAGGUGCUGCAU
rnacentral:rRNA from 1 species